UCCCAUAUUCUGUCAUUCCUAACACACCUUCGGAAUUUUAAAUUUGGAGAAAAUGAGGAGGUAUGGCCAGAAUUACCACCUCAGUUCAUGGAGAUUGCCAGAGUGGAUUAAAGGUAAAAGAUGUCUUUUCUUUUGGUGUUAAACCAAAAAAUGGUAACACCUAUUUGAGAUUGGACUAUUGGCAGCAACGAAAGCCUGCUAAACAAUGUAAGAAAAAUAAGGAAAGAAACUAACUGUUAAUAAAAACCCACUUAACUUCCACUAACGAGCUCAACUAUGUAUAUCCAUCCCAAGAAAAUACAAGCAGGACUACAUCUCUAACUCAUCUAUGAAAGGCUGAAAACCAAUCACCACCGUUAAGGGCCUGCAGUUCUAUAGAUAGCAACUCAUUUAUUCCUGCAACAACCUGCUACAGCCUACAGCUAGGCAAAGGUAGUGGAGUAAGAUAUGUGGGUCCACUAAAUUCGCUUAACAAUUGGAUGAAUGUAGUAAGUAGUAACUAUGAGUUGGUUCGAUCAUGUUGCUCCAUGGAUGGUGAUCUUUGACGCAACAUUUAGGUCUCAGGUGUGAUCCCAAUUUACCUACCCACAGAAAAAAGGGGGAAGAAACUACUAUUUGGUGGAAUAUACAAUAUAUUGGAGUUUUCUCCUAUGCUUUAUUGGCAUGGAGGGAGGGGCUGGAGCUGGCUUGACUUCGUGAUAUUAAGAAAUAAUUUGAGUAUUAAAAAAUUAUGAGUCUUAAUGCUUUCUAAAUGUCCAACUAAGUCUUAAAAAUUGAUAUAACAGAAAAUAUUAAUCCAAACAUGAAAACAUGAUACAACAGUUUCAUGUUUUUAUGUUUUAUUUGGAGAAUUCAUCACUGUUGCUAUGUGCAACAUUUUACUUUUCUGUCUGAGUUACAGUUCAUUUACAGCAACAUGGAGCACCUAUGAAGUCUCCUGGUUCUCGGCUUCAACUCUGAGAUGGUAUGUCCUAAGGUCAUAGGAUCCAGCUGCCUAUUGUGUUUUCUAAGAUGUUUAUGUUUUGCUUAUAAUUUCAAUUGAUGCUUCUGUUGAUGAUUGGAGCAUCGUGAUGCUUUUAUGUGAUUAGAUUCCCAUAGUUCACUAAUUUUUCAUGUUCAACUUGAAUAUAAAGAAAUUGUUGCUU